UUAAAUGGUGCAUGUAAAACCUCAUGGU
rnacentral:piRNA from 1 species